UUGGAUCACCUCCUUAACAGGGAGACAAACAACGAUUUUGAUGUCUGAGUAUUUUAUUCUUAGGCCGAAAUCCUGUCACCUUAGGUCGAUCGGUACCUCAGCUUUUUAGUCAUCAAAUUUGCAGCGAUGCAAGUGAGGAUGGUGGAGAUUUUUAGUUCCUAAACUUUGUCUAGGUCACACCCCUGAAGGGAUGAGACUCCUGGGCCAUUAGCUCAGGUGGUUAGAGCGCACCCCUGAUAAGGGUGAGGUCCCUGGUUCAAGUCCAGGAUGGCCCAUUCCAAACUCCAUUUUGGAUCCUUUGGGGGUUUAGCUCAGUUGGUAGAGCGCCUGCUUUGCAAGCAGGAUGUCAGCGGUUCGAGUCCGCUAACCUCCACUAACAUAUCUGAACUCCAAAGCCAGGAAGAGCUUCUUGGUUGGUGACUAGACGUUGUUCGCUGAAUGAUUCCACUGGAUAACCAGUCGUAUUCAGCCUCAGCUCAUUCGAAUGACACGGUUGUGUUGAUUUGGUUGAGCUGAUGCUGAGUUCACUCCUGAAAGGGAGGGAAUUUAGCAGAACCUUGACAACUGCAUAGGUGAGUCUGGAAAGACAAAGCAUCUCAUAGAGGCUAGUUCGAAAGAGCUAGUGAUUCUAUUUUUUGAGAGCCGAGACCUUCUAGCGUUCUUCCCAAUCCGCCGAGGAGCGGGGAGUUUGAUCCUUCUUUCUAACUGAUGAAUGAGCAGAGCAAUCUGUUGAUUGAUUAAGAGAAAGUCGAGAGAAUGGGCCUCAACAGCCUGAAGCGUUAGGAGGAUAAAUUGGUCAAGCUACAAAGGGCUCACGGUGGAUACCUUGGCACACAGAGGCGAUGAAGGA
rnacentral:tRNA from 1 species